GGAUGAGAUUCUUCGCUCUAAACUGCAACUACCUAGGAGGGACACUGAGGAAGGCAAUGGCUCAUGCAUGCUUUAUACUGAGUGGUGACCCCACCUGCAUGGACUCUGAUGCAUGUUUGUCAUUUGAGAUGUUCCGUGACCUGUACAUCUAUCUGGGAGAUUUGGACCGAGAGGUUUCCCAGGCCCAGGUUGACACAGCACUUACUUACCUGGAGGCCCAAGCGAAGGCAAAUAAUGGCAUGGUGAAAGUGUCUGAUUUCAUCAGUAGUCAUAAAGUGUGUUUGGGAUGAGCAUCUAAUGGGAUAACAAGAGUAGGAGAGCAGGCUGAAACCUCAUCCACCCUUUUCCCAGGAGGCAAUAAAAACCAG